rnacentral:tRNA from 1 species
ACGUCCUUAGUUCAGUUGGUAGAACGUAGGUUUCCAAAACCUAAUGCCGUGGGUUCAAGUCCUACAGGACGUGUCA